UACGGAGGGGGCUAGCGUUGUUCGGAAUUACUGGGCGUAAAGCGCUCGUAGGCGGAUAUUUAAGUCAGGGGUGAAAUCCCGGGGCUCAACCCCGGAGCUGCCUUUGAUACUGGGUAUCUGGAGGUCGAGAGAGGCGAGUGGAAUUCCGAGUGUAGAGGUGAAAUUCGUAGAUAUUCGGAGGAACACCAGUGGCGAAGGCGGCUCGCUGGCUCGAUACUGACGCUGAGGUGCGAAAGCGUGGGGAGCAAACAGG
rnacentral:rRNA from 1 species